GGUCAAGCGAACAAGUGCAUGUGGUGGAUGCCUUGGCGAUCACAGGCGAUGAAGGACGCGGUAGCCUGCGAAAAGCUACGGGGAGCUGGCAAACGAGCUUUGAUCCGUAGAUGUCCGAAUGGGGAAACCCGGCCCUUUUGGGUCAUCCUGGACUGAAUACAUAGGUCCAGUGAAGCGAACGCGGUGAACUGAAACAUCUAAGUAACCGCAGGAAAAGAAAUCAACCGAGAUUCCCAAAGUAGUGGCGAGCGAAAUGGGAUGAGCCUUGCACUCUUUAUUUGUAUUGUUAGCCGAACGCUCUGGAAAGUGCGGCCAUAGCAGGUGAUAGCCCUGUAGGCGAAAACAGUAUGAAAGAACUAGGUGUGCGACAAGUAGGGCGGGACACGUGAAAUCCUGUCUGAAGAUGGGGGGACCAUCCUCCAAGGCUAAAUACUCGUGAUCGACCGAUAGUGAACCAGUACCGUGAGGGAAAGGCGAAAAGAACCCCGGGAGGGGAGUGAAAUAGAUCCUGAAACCGCAUGCAUACAAACAGUCGGAGCCUCGUAAGGGGUGACGGCGUACCUUUUGUAUAAUGGGUCAGCGACUUACGUUCAGUAGCAAGCUUAACCGUAUAGGGCAGGCGUAGCGAAAGCGAGUCCGAAUAGGGCGUUCAGUUGCUGGGCGUAGACCCGAAACCAGGUGAUCUAUCCAUGGCCAGGAUGAAGGUGCGGUAACACGUACUGGAGGUCCGAACCCACUAACGUUGAAAAGUUAGGGGAUGAGCUGUGGAUAGGGGUGAAAGGCUAAACAAACCUGGAAAUAGCUGGUUCUCUCCGAAAACUAUUUAGGUAGUGCCUCGUGUCUCACCUUCGGGGGUAGAGCACUGUCAUGGUUGGGGGGUCUAUUGCAGAUUACCCCGCCAUAGCAAACUCCGAAUACCGAAGAGUGCAAUCACGGGAGACAGACAUCGGGUGCUAACGUCCGGUGUCAAGAGGGAAACAACCCAGACCGCCAGCUAAGGUCCCCAAAUAUAGCUAAGUGGGAAACGAAGUGGGAAGGCUAAAACAGUCAGGAGGUUGGCUUAGAAGCAGCCACCCUUUAAAGAAAGCGUAAUAGCUCACUGAUCGAGUCGUCCUGCGCGGAAGAUGUAACGGGGCUAAGCUAUAUACCGAAGCUGCGGAUGCGAGCUUUGCUCGCAUGGUAGGAGAGCGUUCCGUAAGCCUGCGAAGGUGCCUUGUAAAGGGUGCUGGAGGUAUCGGAAGUGCGAAUGCUGACAUGAGUAGCGAUAAAGGGGGUGAAAGGCCCCCUCGCCGUAAGCCCAAGGUUUCCUACGCAACGUUCAUCGGCGUAGGGUGAGUCGGCCCCUAAGGCGAGGCAGAAAUGCGUAGCUGAUGGGAAGCAGGUCAAUAUUCCUGCACCAUUGUUAGAUGCGAUGGGGGGACGGAUCGCGGAAGGUUGUCCGGGUGUUGGAAGUCCCGGUCGCUGCAUUGGAGAAGGCGCUUAGGCAAAUCCGGGCGCGUAAUUCAAGGGUGUGGCGCGAGCUCCUUAGGGAGCGAAGCAAUUGGAAGUGGUUCCAAGAAAAGCCUCUAAGCUUCAGUCUAACGAUGACCGUACCGCAAACCGACACAGGUGGGCGAGAUGAGUAUUCUAAGGCGCUUGAGAGAACUCGGGAGAAGGAACUCGGCAAAUUGGUACCGUAACUUCGGGAUAAGGUACGCCCUUGUAGCUUGACUGGCCUGCGCCAGGAGGGUGAAGGGGUUGCAAUAAACUGGUGGCUGCGACUGUUUAAUAAAAACACAGCACUCUGCAAACACGAAAGUGGACGUAUAGGGUGUGACGCCUGCCCGGUGCCGGAAGAUUAAAUGAUGGGGUGCAAGCUCUUGAUUGAAGUCCCGGUAAACGGCGGCCGUAACUAUAACGGUCCUAAGGUAGCGAAAUUCCUUGUCGGGUAAGUUCCGACCUGCACGAAUGGCGUAACGAUGGCCACACUGUCUCCUCCCGAGACUCAGCGAAGUUGAAGUGUUUGUGAUGAUGCAAUCUACCCGCGGCUAGACGGAAAGACCCCAUGAACCUUUACUGUAGCUUUGCAUUGGACUUUGAACCGAUCUGUGUAGGAUAGGUGGGAGGCUAUGAAACCGGAACGCUAGUUUCGGUGGAGCCGUCCUUGAAAUACCACCCUGGUUUGUUUGAGGUUCUAACCUUGGCCCGUGAUCCGGGUCGGGGACAGUGCAUGGUAGGCAGUUUGACUGGGGCGGUCUCCUCCCAAAGCGUAACGGAGGAGUACGAAGGUACGCUAGGUACGGUCGGAAAUCGUGCUGAUAGUGCAAUGGCAUAAGCGUGCUUAACUGCGAGACCGACAAGUCGAGCAGGUGCGAAAGCAGGUCAUAGUGAUCCGGUGGUUCUGUAUGGAAGGGCCAUCGCUCAACGGAUAAAAGGUACUCUGGGGAUAACAGGCUGAUACCGCCCAAGAGUUCAUAUCGACGGCGGUGUUUGGCACCUCGAUGUCGGCUCAUCUCAUCCUGGGGCUGUAGCCGGUCCCAAGGGUAUGGCUGUUCGCCAUUUAAAGAGGUACGUGAGCUGGGUUUAAAACGUCGUGAGACAGUUUGGUCCCUAUCUGCCGUGGGCGUUGGAUAUUUGAAGGGGGCUGCUCCUAGUACGAGAGGACCGGAGUGGACGAACCUCUGGUGUACCGGUUGUCACGCCAGUGGCAUCGCCGGGUAGCUAUGUUCGGAAGAGAUAACCGCUGAAAGCAUCUAAGCGGGAAACUCGCCUUAAGAUGAGAUAUCCCUGGGGACUAGAUCCCCUUGAAGGGUCGUUCGAGACCAGGACGUUGAUAGGUCAGGUGUGUAAGCGCAGUAAUGCGUUCAGCUAACUGAUACUAAUUGCCCGUAAGGCUUGAUCCU
rnacentral:rRNA from 1 species